rnacentral:rRNA from 1 species
AUAGGGGAGCCGGAGGGAAACCGAGUCUUAAUUGGGCGUUAAGUUGCAGGGUAUAGACCCGAAACCCGGUGAUCUAGCCAUGGGCAGGUUGAAGGUUGGGUAACACUAACUGGAGGACCGAACCGACUAAUGUUGAAAAAUUAGCGGAUGACCUGUGGCUGGGGGUGAAAGGCCAAUCAAACCGGGAGAUAGCUGGUUCUCCCCGAAAGCUAUUUAGGUAGCGCCUCGUGAAUUCAUCUCCGGGGGUAGAGCACUGUUUCGGCUAGGGGGCCAUCCCGGCUUACCAACCCGAUGCAAACUGCGAAUACCGGAGAAUGUUAUCACGGGAGACACACGGCGGGUGCUAACGUCCGUCGUGAAGAGGGAAACAACCCAGACCGCCAGCUAAGGUCCCAAAGUCAUGGUUAAGUGGGAAACGAUGUGGGAAGGCCCAGACAGCCAGGAUGUUGGCUUAGAAGCAGCCAUCAUUUAAAGAAAGCGUAAUAGCUCACUGGUCGAGUCGGCCUGCGCGGAAGAUGUAACGGGGCUAAACCAUGCACCGAAGCUGCGGCAGCGAACGUAUCACUUAAAGCGAUUCAGCGGGUUACGAUUGACGGAGCGAAGCGACGUCAAAGCGUAUACAAAGUCGAGUCGGUUUAAGGAUACGUUCGUUGGGUAGGGGAGCGUUCUGUAAGCCUGUGAAGGUGGCCUGUGAGGGUUGCUGGAGGUAUCAGAAGUGCGAAUGCUGACAUAAGUAACGAUAAAGCGGGUGAAAAGCCCGCUCGCCGGAAGACCAAGGGUUCCUGUCCAACGUUAAUCGGGGCAGGGUGAGUCGACCCCUAAGGCGAGGCCGAAAGGCGUAGUCGAUGGGAAACAGGUUAAUAUUCCUGUACUUGGUGUUACUGCGAAGGGGGGACGGAGAAGGCUAUGUUGGCCGGGCGACGGUUGUCCCGGUUUAAGCGUGUAGGUGUGUGUUCCAGGUAAAUCCGGUUCACUUUAACACUGAGGCGUGAUGACGAGGCACUACGGUGCUGAAGCAACAAAUGCCCUGCUUCCAGGAAAAGCCUCUAAGCAUCAGGUAACAUCAAAUCGUACCCCAAACCGACACAGGUGGUCAGGUAGAGAAUACCAAGGCGCUUGAGAGAACUCGGGUGAAGGAACUAGGCAAAAUGGUGCCGUAACUUCGGGAGAAGGCACGCUGACACGUAGGUGAAGUGAUUUACUCAUGGAGCUGAAGUCAGUCGAAGAUACCAGCUGGCUGCAACUGUUUAUUAAAAACACAGCACUGUGCAAACACGAAAGUGGACGUAUACGGUGUGACGCCUGCCCGGUGCCGGAAGGUUAAUUGAUGGGGUCAGCGCAAGCGAAGCUCCUGAUCGAAGCCCCGGUAAACGGCGGCCGUAACUAUAACGGUCCUAAGGUAGCGAAAUUCCUUGUCGGGUAAGUUCCGACCUGCACGAAUGGCGUAAUGAUGGCCAGGCUGUCUCCACCCGAGACUCAGUGAAAUUGAACUCGCUGUGAAGAUGCAGUGUACCCGCGGCAAGACGGAAAGACCCCGUGAACCUUUACUAUAGCUUGACACUGAACAUUGAGCCUUGAUGUGUAGGAUAGGUGGGAGGCUUUGAAGCGUGGACGCCAGUCUGC